rnacentral:misc_RNA from 1 species
AACGCACAUUGCGCCCCUCGGUAUUCCGGCGGGCAUGUCUGUUUGAGCGUCAUUACGAACCCCUUCGGCCCGGCAUUCUGGUGCCCGGCCGGUUCUGAGCAUGCGCUGAAGGCUCUCCCAACGGAUCGAUGCCCAGCUCGCUUUAAACCCGAUGCUACGCGAGCGGUCCGACCGGAAGAACAUAGUAGAUUCGUUUAUGCUGUUCCCCAAGGUCGCGGCCGGCUUCGCCUGAACAAAACCGAUCACAAGGUUUGACCUCAGAUCAGACAAGGAUACCCGCUGAACUUAA